GGCUGAGGUGGGUCGCGGGGAGCGCGCCGCCUUCCCCGGGCGUGCGGAGAUCUUCAUGUCACGUGGGACUGUUGCUCUUGUUCCGAAUGAAGCCUGAAAGGUGACCUUUGAGGACUGAACACUUGAGAUCCUUCCCUGGCACCAGCGGCCACCAGCACUAGUAAUUUCAACUUAGAAGUCUACCCAUGUUACCCAGUCCGGGGGGAACAAGAUUGUUAGGAAAGGGAAAGGGGAGCCCUGAGUGACUCAGAGAACCAAGGAAGCAGAUCUCAGCGUUGGCUACACCUUCCUGGUCCUUUGUCUGGAGAGAACAGGCUUUCGGAGGCUUUUUCUGUCUGUGCCCGCUGACAUUUCUGGUUGCCUACAUCUUCAGCACCCAGUCUGAGAAAUAUGAAGCCAAAAGAAAACCUGGGGAACUCACUGCCAUGUCUUUCCAGGUUACCAGCCAAUCUACCUUUUCUCUACCUUUAAGAGUAAUUAUAUUUGUUUUAUAAUACAUCCAGGGUAUUUAGCAAUACUUAGCAGAAGCAAUGGGAGAAGUACAACUAUUGCAUAUUUUCCGAGAACUGGAAGUCUCUGUAUUAUUUUUAUACUUAAAAAUAAAGUGAUUUAAUGAAAGCAAAACAUA